UACGUAGGUGGCAAGCGUUAUCCGGAUUUACUGGGUGUAAAGGGCGUGUAGGCGGGAAAGCAAGUCAGAUGUGAAAACCACGGGCUCAACCUGUGGCCUGCAUUUGAAACUGUUUUUCUUGAGUACUGGAGAGGCAGACGGAAUUCCUCGUGUAGCGGUGAAAUGCGUAGAUAUGAGGAGGAACACCAGUGGCGAAGGCGGUCUGCUGGACAGCAACUGACGCUGAGGCGCGAAAGCGUGGGGAGCAAAUAGG
rnacentral:rRNA from 1 species